GCAACGCGAAGAACCUUACCAGGUCUUGACAUCUCCUGACAAUCCUAGAGAUAGGACGUUCCCCUUCGGGGGACAGGAUGACAGGUGGUGCAUGGUUGUCGUCAGCUCGUGUCGUGAGAUGUUGGGCUAAGUCCCGCAACGAGCGCAACCCUUGAUCUUAGUUGCCAGCAUUCAGUUGGGCACUCUAAGGUGACUGCCGGUGACAAACCGGAGGAAGGUGGGGAUGACGUCAAAUCAUCAUGCCCCUUAUGACCUGGGCUACACACGUGCUACAAUGGAUGGUACAAAGGGCUGCAAAACCGUGAGGUCGAGCGAAUCCCAUAAAACCAUUCUCAGUUCGGAUUGUAGGCUGCAACUCGCCUACAUGAAGCUGGAAUCGCUAGUAAUCGCGGAUCAGCAUGCCGCGGUGAAUACGUUCCCGGGUCUUGUACACACCGCCCGUCACACCACGAGAGUUUGUAACACCCGAAGUCGGUGGGGUAACCGUAAGGAGCCAGCCGCCUAAGGUGGGACA
rnacentral:rRNA from 1 species